rnacentral:rRNA from 1 species
AGUGAACGCUGGCGGUAGGCCUAACACAUGCAAGUCGAACGGCAGCACAGUAAGAGCUUGCUCUUACGGGUGGCGAGUGGCGGACGGGUGAGGAAUACAUCGGAAUCUACUUUUUCGUGGGGGAUAACGUAGGGAAACUUACGCUAAUACCGCAUACGACCUACGGGUGAAAGCAUGGGAUCUUCGGACCUUGCGCGAUUGAAUGAGCCGAUGUCGGAUUAGCUAGUUGGCGGGGUAAAGGCCCACCAAGGCGACGAUCCGUAGCUGGUCUGAGAGGGUGAUCAGCCACACUGGAACUGAGACACGGUCCAGACUCCUACGGGAGGCAGCAGUGGGGAAUAUUGGACAAUGGGCGCAAGCCUGAUCCAGCCAUACCGCGUGGGUGAAGAAGGCCUUCGGGUUGUAAAGCCCUUUUGUUGGGAAAGAAAAGCAGCAGGUUAAUACCCCGCUGUUCUGACGGUACCCAAAGAAUAAGCACCGGCUAACUUCGUG